UUUCAUGUGACUGGUGAUUACUUAGCACAUAGUGAUCCUUUUGAAUCUUCAUAAAAAAUCAUAUAAAAUAGUCAUUAAUGUUUCUCAAUUUUACAGAUGAAGAAAAGGAUUCAGAGAGUACCUUUGAGACUUCACACAGGGAAGUGCAACAGUGACUUAGGACAGGGCUCUCAGAGCUUGGAUGUGUACAGCCUCUCUCUCACCGAACGUCCCCUCCUUCCCAAACCAGCUCAUCCUUGAGUGUAUUAGAUUUGUCUGAAUUUACUCAAAAAUCUUAGGGAAAUUUAAAAGUUGUAUAAGAACAGCAUAUGAGCCAACACGAGCACUGAUAUCUCAAAACAGCAAUUUUGUCUAUUUAUUUGGCUUUACUCUUUCAUUAACUCAUAUUUUACCUCAUUCCAGAAAUGAUCUGAUAUGGCAAGCUGUUGGUAUUGUUAUCAUUUUAUUUGUCAUUAACUUGUAGGGCCCUGAAGGAGUGCAGAGUUGAUGAGAAGCCUGAGGUUCUUUGGGGUGGGAAGUAGUAGCUGGAAGAGAGGCAGAGGAGAAAGGCUCCCUAUCCUCGACUCGGUUCACACUCAGCUUGGGGCUAACCAUGGUUGUGAACACGGCACACAGACAUUCUGAGACGCGAACUGCAUCUGGCAUGAACUAACUGCGCACAUUCUUAGAGAAGAGCCACAUAGUCCCUAUUCUUAGAUGCUUCUGGAGUUUCCAUAUCUGAGUUCUUCUGGCAAUGAUGGCCAGAGAGAAAGGAGAAGAAAGGAACCCACCAGUAGCUGUCUUUCUGCUGCCUGUCUGAGUACAGCCAAUAAACGGGAUUGAGUGGCAACUAACAAAAACUAACUUACUCUUGUCAAAAAGAUCUCCACAUCAGAGAACAAGACCUGGAAGCUGUAAGAAGCCUGGAUCCACACAAACGGCUGCUUAGCAUUCAAAUACUCCCCUCCCAGAACGCUUGAUGUGUUUCUUGAAUAUCUGACUUACUCUGCUGGCCAUCUACUGACAAAAGCAAUCUCUCCCCAGAUGAAAAUUUCUCUGGCUCUUUCUCUUUGUUUGUUUUUGGUGUUGUUUAAGAAACAGCAUUUCGAAUUCCCUCAGCCUUCCAAGAAAGCAGGCAGAUGUGUAAAUUAGAUUCCAAAGCACUAAGGCUUCUACAUCUUAAUAAGCUGGGACGCAACCAUGCCCUGGAAGCAAAAGUGAAUAGAAUUCCCACAUUCACGAAGGGUCUACUGUUGAUUUUCUAAAAAGGAACAAAACGGUAACCAGAUGGUAGUUGACAGGGCAACUUUAAAGACAAGUAUUUGUUUUGAUCUCAUUCCUAAGGGAAAGAAAGUUAGAUAAUUAAUAGCAGGAAAGAACAGGAGACAAAGGCAAGAGAAGAAGAAAUACCAAAGAUAAUGUAUAAAGGGAAAUGUGAAGAGAAAUAGGUAUUGGAAAAUAAGGGGAAAAUUUAGCCAGUUCUAGAAAAAUAGAAAAUGGGAUGAAAUGAAAUAUAACUGCACAUUUUUCAUGAAAUGGUUGCCUAGGAAACAACUAGGAGUGUUUCUCCCUGUACUGAAUAAUUGUUGAGAAACACACUGGACUUAGGGUCUCUUGACUUUACUGGUAUCAACUGGGAAACUUAUGUGUCAGGCAUCGUAGUUAUGAGCACCAUACUUUCUAUAUCAUGCUUCUAACAACAGAAGUAGUCAGUUUCAACAAUUUUGGAGGGUAAUAGCAGAGGAAUUGUAAGAUUGAAACCUACAAACACAGGCAGGGUGAGACUUGAAAAUCAGAUUAGUCUAGGAUGACACAUUAGUAUGUGUAACACUAAGCAACAAACCGUGGAAAAGUCAAUUAGAAAAGCAGCUGAAGGCCCAUUUGGCAAUGUGAGAUCAUCUUUACAGCUUGCCCGGUAUCCCGUUGAAAACCAGUUUUCCAUAUAAAGAACUUGGUGCACUUAAAGUCAUAUAAUGUGAAGGCAAAAUUUCACAUUACAAAGCAGUUCUUCAUCUUCCGUUAGCGUACAGCCCCUAUGGAUCUUAUUAUCACUUUUUUUGCUUUUAAUCUAAUAAAAACAAACAGCAUUAAAAAAUG